GUUGCAGUGGCCGAGCGGUUAAGGCGUUGGACUAGAAAUCCAAUGGGAUCUUCCCGCGCAGGUUCGAAUCCGGCCCGCAACG
rnacentral:tRNA from 2 species